rnacentral:lncRNA from 1 species
CAAUAAUUACAAUACAAUGACGUCAAAUAGAUACAAUUCACUAAAAUCUCUCCGGUUGCCAACUUACAAUUUCACUCAGGUCGCCAAGGUCCAUCUUUUUCCAGAGCAUGAACACCAAAGGUUCAGUUUCCUAAGGAACACUGCACACCAAUUCCAAAAUGGAACUCAAAACAAACAUUCAUAGUCUAGUGGUUCCAAAAACAUACAGCAU